CCUACGGGAGGCAGCAGUGAGGAAUAUUGGUCAAUGGACGAGAGUCUGAACCAGCCAAGUAGCGUGAAGGAUGACUACCCUAUGGGUUGUAAACUUCUUUUAUAUGGGAAUAAAAUGUUCCACGUGUGGGAUUUUGUAUGUACCAUAUGAAUAAGGAUCGGCUAACUCCGUGCCAGCAGCCGCGGUAAUACGGAGGAUCCGAGCGUUAUCCGGAUUUAUUGGGUUUAAAGGGAGCGUAGGUGGAUUGUUAAGUCAGUUGUGAAAGUUUGCGGCUCAACCGUAAAAUUGCAGUUGAAACUGGCAGUCGUGAGUACAGUAGAGGUGGGCGGAAUUCGUGGUGUAGCGGUGAAAUGCUUAGAUAUCACGAAGAACUCCGAUUGCGAAGGCAGCUCACUGGACUGCAACUGACACUGAGGCUCGAAAGUGUGGGUAUCAAACAGGAUUAGAUACCCCUGUAGUC
rnacentral:rRNA from 1 species